rnacentral:rRNA from 1 species
GGCUGUCGUCAGCUCGUGUCGUGAGAUGUUGGGUUAAGUCCCGCAACGAGCGCAACCCUUGUCACUAGUUGCCAUCAUUUGGUUGGGCACUCUAGUGAGACUGCCGGUGACAAACCGGAGGAAGGUGGGGGAUGACGUCAAGCCCUCAUGGCCCUUAUGGUAGGGCUUCACACGUCAUACAAUGGUCGGUACAGAGGGUUGCCAAGCCGCGAGGUGGAGCCAAUCCCUUAAAGCCGAUCGUAGUCCGGAUCGUAGUCUGCAACUCGACUACGUGAAGUCGGAAUCGCUAGUAAUCGCAGAUCAGCAUGCUGCGGUGAAUACGUUCCCGGGUCUU